rnacentral:rRNA from 1 species
GAUGAACGCUAGCUACAGGCUUAACACAUGCAAGUCGAGGGGAAACGAUAUUGGAAGCUUGCUUCUGAUAGGCGUCGACCGGCGCACGGGUGAGUAACGCGUAUCCAACCUGCCCAUCACUUGGGGAUAACCUUGCGAAAGUAAGACUAAUACCCAAUGACGUCUCUAGAAGACAUCUGAAAGAGAUUAAAGAUUUAUCGGUGUACGAUGGGGAUGCGUUCCAUUAGGUAGUAGGCGGGGUAACGGCCCACCUAGCCUACGAUGGAUAGGGGGUUCUGAGAGGAAGGUCCCCCACAUUGGAACUGAGACACGGUCCAAACUCCUACGGGAGGCAGCAGUGAGGAAUAUUGGUCAAUGGACGAGAGUCUGAACCAGCCAAGUAGCGUGAAGGAUGAAGGUCCUACGGAUUGUAAACUUCUUUUAUAAGGGAAUAAAACCUCCCACGUGUGGGAGCUUGUAUGUACCUUAUGAAUAAGCAUCGGCUAACUCCGUG